GGUGCAGCUAAGUGGUAUAGCACUUGCCUAUCGUGCAUGAGGCCCUGAGUUUGAUCUUCAGCAACACCA
rnacentral:tRNA from 1 species